GCAGGCCUAACACAUGCAAGUCGAGCGGAUGAAGGGAGCUUGCUCCCUGAUUUAGCGGCGGACGGGUGAGUAAUGCCUAGGAACCUGCCUGGUAGUGGGGGAUAACGUUCCGAAAGGAACGCUAAUACCGCAUACGUCCUACGGGAGGAAGCAGGGGACCUUCGGGCCUUGCGCUAUCAGAUGAGCCUAGGUCGGAUUAGCUAGUUGGUGAGGUAAUGGCUCACCAAGGCGACGAUCCGUAACUGGUCUGAGAGGAUGAUCAGUCACACUGGAACUGAGACACGGUCCAGACUCCUACGGGAGGCAGCAGUGGGGAAUAUUGGACAAUGGGCGAAAGCCUGAUCCAGCCAUGCCGCGUGUGUGAAGAAGGUCUUCGGAUUGUAAAGCACUUUAAGUUGGGAGGAAGGGCAGUAAGCUAAUACCUUGCUGUUUUGACGUUACCGACAGAAUAAGCACCGGCUAACUUCGUGCCAGCAGCCGCGGAAAUACGAAGGGUGCAAGCGUUAAUCGGAAUUACUGGGCGUAAAGCGCGCGUAGGUGGUUCGUUAAGUUGGAUGUGAAAGCCCCGGGCUCAACCUGGGAACUGCAUCCAAAACUGGCGAGCUAAGUACGGUAGAGGGUGGUGGAAUUUCCUGUGUAGCGGUGAAAUGCGUAAUAUAGGAAGGAACACCAGUGGCGAAGGCGACCACCUGGACUGAUACUGACACUGAGGUGCGAAAGCGUGGGGAGCAAACAGGAUUAAAUACCCUGGUUAGUCACGCCGUAAAC
rnacentral:rRNA from 1 species